AUGAAGGCAUGAGGUUGACUAUAACACAGCGUAAUUUGAUUGAAUUAGUACGUACUCUAAUAUGCAAUGAUGGUGAUUGAAUUGAAUGCAAUGCUCAUGUAUAUUACAAGUUUCACAUUGGAGAAAGUCGGAGCAAAAGUUCAGAGAAUUUAAGUUCAUUUAUCCAUCGUCUGGAUUAAAAUGUAGCACUGGAGAGUGACUGCACUUAGCUGGUAACUUUCACUAUGCACUAUGAUUGUCACGUAUGGCUUACAGUUAUCUGAGAAUUUCAUACUUAAUCGUUAUAGAAGCAGAAUUUAAAACUAAAUUUGCUUCCAAGGUUGACAUUUUCGGUGUGUAACUGCGUUAAUCCCGAAAGUUCAGCUAGCAAUGUUUCUGUUGAAUAGCUCAGAGAAUUGAAACGAGGCAUCACUCUUAUGUACAAAAAAGACAAUAUGGCGCCUGAAGAGUGAAGCAAGCCUACCGAAGGACAAGAGAAAGGUAACCCACAAACAUUCCGUUUGCGGUCGAUGCGGGCUAAAUCUGAAUGAAAUUGGUGACUGUUUACCGUAAAGCGUGGCUCAUCAGAGCCGUACUAGGCUCGUUGUUGUAUAGAGCCUCUGUGCGUCACAACUACUCAGGCGAAUAUAGGACAGACGGAUGGAUACGGCUUUGCAAGUUUCAGCUCUGCCAACACAGUUCAAGCCAGGCCCGAAGGGAGUUUCGAAUGUAGACUGGGUCUUCAUAAACAACAGCUCAGCGCAAAUUUCAGCUUGACAAUAACGAUGAUUGAAGGAAACUCUUUAAAUAUUGUGAAUUCCGAAUACCCACAAUAAAAAUCGGUUUUAUGUGCUUA